GAUGAACGCUGGCUACAGGCUUAACACAUGCAAGUCGAGGGGAAACGUCGGGGAAGCUUGCUUCCCCGGGCGUCGACCGCCGCACGGGUGAGUAACGCGUAUCCAACCUGCCUCUGACUGAGGGAUAACCCGUCGAAAGUCGGCCUAAUACCUCAUUUCAUCGUCUGCGGGCCUCCAACGACCAUUAAAGCUUUCAUCGGUCAGAGCUGGGGAUGCGUCUGAUUAGCUUGUUGGCGGGGUAACGGCCCACCAAGGCGACGAUCAGUAGGGGUUCUGAGAGGAAGGUACCCCACAUGGGAACUGAGACACGGACAAAAGGACUAAGGGAGGAAGCAGUGAGGAAUAGUGGUCAGCGGGCGAGAGCAUGAACCAGCCAAGUAGAGUGCAGGAUGACGGCCCUAUGGGUUGUAAAAUGCUUUUAUGCGGGGAUAAAGUGAGGGACGUGUCCUACAUUGCAGGUACCGCAUGAAUAAGGACCGGCUAAUUCCGUG
rnacentral:rRNA from 1 species